rnacentral:lncRNA from 1 species
UUACGAUGCCCCCAAAGAGCUGGCGAAGAUCUCAGGAUUGGCUUUGGAGGGUCUUGGCAGUGCUACUAUAUUCUUAUUAUGAAUAAAAAUUUUAAACCCAAGCUGAUAAACAUAUUUUUUUUCACACUGAAUUCAUCAGGAAUACAUUAACAUUUUCUAAAAGGUAAAGACAGCAAAAAUGAAAGAAUUGAAAGGAGAACAUUAGGAUGUAUUUGGCCACUAGGACUCUGUUUCCAUCAGCUCCUGCAUAUGAGCCAGAACUUCACCCCAUAUAACUAAUGCGCAGGGAAUUAGCCUAUGGAAUAAUGAUCAUUCCUGAUGAAAAGAAUAAGAUCUUGUUCCCGUGUAUGUGCAGAGCCAUUCAUCCUAAGAAAGAAAUCUGGAGUGAAAGCGCACAGCAUAUUUUGCAUAGGUUCUGUAAAAGGAUCCAGGCAAAACAGGCUUUGCAACAUUAGUUAUGAUCAUAUAUGGAAAAAGCAGUUACUUUCUGGGGUGACAUAUGGCUGAAUUGGUACAAUGCCCAGGAAUCUCAAUGUCCCCCUUAGAAGGGUGAGCCCUGGCUUCAUCCUUCACCCACAUCAUCAGUGGGACAAACUGCACAGCUCGUGGACAGAUCACCGGUAAAGAAAAUCACAUCCACCUGUGCUGAGACCAAGGCUGCUGUUGGGCUCUGGCAGUUGGCAAGCGCUAAGGUCCCCUUCUGUGAUCAUAACUUUUUCUAAAGCAGGAAAAUUAUGAAUGGAGCCCAAGCCCGUCUGCUUAAGAUUCAAGCAUGGUGACAUUCCAUAGUAAACAACAACAGCGACAAUGCUGACAAAAACAACACGUUUAUUGUGAGGGUGAUUCCACCCUUAAAUGUGGAAAAUUUAACCUUGCUCUGAUACUAUUCUGUAACCAGUAUACCUAUGUCCAACAUUCCUAACAUAGCCAAACCAAUCAAUUGAGCCUUAUUGUGGAAGAGACAGGAAAUGUGAUCACUUGAAUGUGUGAUAUUCAUUCAUCCACUCAUUCAUUUUGCUGACCAUUAAUUAAUUCAAUUAACCCUCCUGAGUACAGCUCUGUGCUAAGCAUUAGGGACUCAAGAUGAUUCUUAUCUUCAAGGCAUCCAGCCUGGGGAGAAAAACAGACGUACAACUAAGCUGCAGACGGACACAUCCUUUAGUGAUGGGGACACCUGGAAGGGAUUGAGAAACUCCUUGCAGUUGGCCUUGGGAAGCUGGGGAGGACUUGAAACUUCUAAGUGGCCCUGGGAGCAACCGGAGGUGGGGUGGGCCAGUGCCUGUAGGCCUGGGCCUGCCUGGCUGAGGAUCCCAGCUGGACUACUGCCUUGCUGUCUACAAAUGAUGGAGCCCUUCCAGUCUCAGCUUCCUCACAAGUAAAAUGCAGACGGCAAUGCCUCUUUCCAGUGACGUUGUGAGGAUUCGAUGGGAAGUUUCAUGAAAGCACUUAGCAGGGUUUUUGUUGAGUGCUCAGAAGGUGAUAGUUUGGUGUUGCUAGGGGAACAGAAGCCUGGGCUGAGAACAGGCCGUGGAGAGUCACAAAUGGUCUUCAGCCGUCGGAAGGCACUGUUAGAUUUACUCUUCACAAAGAACAUUUUGGGACAUCUUGGUGUACGGAUUAGAAGGAAGGACAGAAGCUGGCACUUUGGCAAAGGAGUGUGAGUUUUGGGGAAGCUCAAGGAAGAGGUACCAGGUAGAGAGAGGGCCAGGGCUGAGUUCACGGGCUCUUUCUAAAUGGAAAUGUCUCACAUUCAGCUGUUGUCUGCCUUUGAGUCACACAGAACCACUUGCAGGAAGAACUCUAGAGAAUUUGGGAAGAAAGGGGGAGAGGACAGACAAAAGAUGCAUUUUUCUUUCAAGAAGCAGGAAAAUGUAAGGAAAAUUGAAGGUGUUCUCAAGUGUGUCUGCUGCUGCCUGACACAGGUUAACCCCGUCGCAGGUCACUCCGCUCUGUUAAUUGCAUCCUAACCUUCCUCGGCUCUUCGGCAGCGAAAUCGCAGCAGAGGAGAUGGAGCAGCUUCGUGCGCAUUGCUCAUUUGCGCCAACGUGAAAAGAACUGCCAGGAUGCCCAGGACACCAGCUCCCUGGCUUCUGCGGUGCUUGCACAGUCCUGAAUCAGCCCGAGAGCUGUGGAUCUGCGUCCCCUGGCUGCAUAGCCGACUGCCGGCUCCAUGGAGGGGCCUGUGCCGGAGAACGCACAUGUUGACUUAUUUCUUCAGUCUAGGCCUUUCUUGGCCCCCUUGGUUAUUCAUUCUAGAUGAUACAACUCUUAUUUCAGUUCAAAUGUCUCACGGAAGAGGCAUUGAAGACAGAGUGGAUGCCCGUGUUUGUUGGCAGUAGGUAGUAUUUACCACUCCGGUUGUAGUAAAAGAACAAAAGGAGAAAUUACACCUAUUUCUCAUAUUUAAGGGAAAAGCAAUUAAAUCACCAAAGUCAGAAAAAAAAAAAAAAAAAA